GGGAUUGCCCUAGUAAUGGCGAGUAAAGCGGCAAUAGCUUAAAUUUAAAAUCUAGCCCCCCCGUAGGCCUAAGUUAUAAUUUAUAAAGGAUGCUUUUAGCGCGGCGCCUUCUAAGUGCCUUAGAACGGGACGCUAUAGAGGGUAAGAGCCCCGUCUAGUCGGACGCCUAGCCUCUAUAAAGCUCCUUCGACGAGUCGAGUAGUUUAGGAAUACUGCUUUAAACGGGAGGUAUAUAUCUUCUAAAGCUAAAUACUAGCUAGAGACCGAUAGCGCAUAAGUAGAGUAAUUAAAAGAUAAAAAGCACUUUAAAAAGAGGGUUAAAUAGUAUAUAAAAUUAUUAAAAGGGAAGCGCUUAUAACUAGACUUAAGCGCGGCGAAUUACUCAGCGUUCUCGCCGGCGCACUUCGACGCGCCUAGGCUAGCAUUAGCUCGCCGCGGGGGAUAAAGGCGCCGGGAACGUAGCUCCUUAGGGAGUAUUAUAGCCCGGCGCGCAACGCCCCGCGGCGGACUAAGGUUCGCGCGUCCGUAAGGAUGCUAGCGUAAUAGUCAUUAAUAACCUAUCUUAAAAUAUAGACUGAGGAGUCGUCCUCGUAUACGAGUAUUUAGGUGUUAAACCCCUACGCGUAAUAAAAGUAAACGCGGGUAAGAGCCUCGUAGCGUAUUAUCGACCGAUCCUAAUAUUCUCGGAUAGAUUUAAGUAAGAGCAUAUAGGGCCGGACCUAAAAGAAAGUAAACUAUGCUUAUAUAGGGUAAAGCUAGAGGAAACUCUAGUAAAGGCUCGCAGCGGUUCUAACGUAUAAAUCGAUCGUUAAAUAUAGGCAUAAAG
rnacentral:rRNA from 1 species